AGUGAACGCUGGCGGUAGGCCUAACACAUGCAAGUCGAACGGAAGCACAGUAAGAGCUUGCUCUUACGGGUGGCGAGUGGCGGACGGGUGCGGAAUACAUCGGAAUCUACUUUUUCGUGGGGGAUAACGCAGGGAAACUUACGCUAAUACCGCAUACGACCUACGGGUGAAAGCAGGGGAUCUUCGGACCUUGCGCGAUUGAAUGAGCCGAUGUCGGAUUAGCUAGUUGGCGGGGUAAAGGCCCACCAAGGCGACGAUCCGUAGCUGGUCUGAGAGGAUGAUCAGCCACACUGGAACUGAGACACGGUCCAGACUCCUACGGGAGGCAGCAGUGGGGAAUAUUGGACAAAGGGCGCAAGCCUGAUCCAGCCAUACCGCGUGUGUGAAGAAGGCCUUCGGGUUGUAAAGCCCUUUUGGUGGGAAAGAAAAGCAGCAGGUUAAUACCCCGCUGUUCUGACGGUACCCAAAGAAUAAGCACCGGCUAACUUCGUG
rnacentral:rRNA from 1 species